rnacentral:rRNA from 1 species
GACGAACGCUGGCGGCGUGCCUAAUACAUGCAAGUAGAACGCUGAAGAGAGGAGCUUGCUCUUCUUGGAUGAGUUGCGAACGGGUGAGUAACGCGUAGGUAACCUGCCUUGUAGCGGGGGAUAACUAUUGGAAACGAUAGCUAAUACCGCAUAACAAUGGAUGACACAUGUCAUUUAUUUGAAAGGGGCAAUUGCUCCACUACAAGAUGGACCUGCGUUGUAUUAGCUAGUAGGUGAGGUAAUGGCUCACCUAGGCGACGAUACAUAGCCGACCUGAGAGGGUGAUCGGCCACACUGGGACUGAGACACGGCCCAGACUCCUACGGGAGGCAGCAGUAGGGAAUCUUCGGCAAUGGGGGCAACCCUGACCGAGCAACGCCGCGUGAGUGAAGAAGGUUUUCGGAUCGUAAAGCUCUGUUGUAAGUCAAGAACGGGUGUGAGAGUGGAAAGUUCACACUGUGACGGUAGCUUGCCAGAAAGGGACGGCUAACUACGUG